CUGCUGCCUCCCGUAGGAGUUUGGGCCGUGUCUCAGUCCCAAUGUGGCCGUUCACCCUCUCAGGCCGGCUACUGAUCGUCGCUUUGGUGGGCCGUUACCCCGCCAACUGGCUAAUCAGACGCGGAUCCAUCGUAUACCACCGGAGUUUUUCACACUGUUCCAUGCGGAACCGUGCGCUUAUGCGGUAUUAGCACCUAUUUCUAAGUGUUAUCCCCCUGUAUACGGCAGGUUAUCCACGCGUUACUCACCCGUCCGCCACUGA
rnacentral:rRNA from 1 species